AUUGAACGCUGGCGGCAGGCCUAACACAUGCAAGUCGAGCGAGCGGCGGACGGGUGAGUAAUGUCUGGGACACUGCCUGAUGGAGGGGGAUAACUACUGGAACCGGUAGCUAAUACCGCAUACCAUCAGAUGUGCCCAGCUGGGAGUAGCUAGGAGGUGGGGUAACGGCCCACCUAGGCGACGAUCCCUAGCUGGUCUGAGAGGAUGACCAGCCACACUGGAGAUGAGACACGGUCCAGACGCCUACGGGAGGCAGCAGUGGGGAAUGUUGCACAAUGGGCGCAAGCCUGAUGCAGCCAUGCCGCGUGUGUGAAGAAGGCCUUCGGGGUGUAAAGCACUUUCAGCGGGGAGGCGUUACCCGCAGAAGAAGCACCGGCUAACUCCGUGCCAGCCGCCGCGGUAAUUC
rnacentral:rRNA from 1 species